rnacentral:rRNA from 1 species
CGGCCUGCGCGGAAGAUGUAACGGGGCUAAACCAUGCACCGAAGCUGCGGCAGCGACACUCAGGUGUUGUUGGGUAGGGGAGCGUUCUGUAAGCCUGCGAAGGUGGCCUGUGAGGGUUGCUGGAGGUAUCAGAAGUGCGAAUGCUGACAUAAGUAACGAUAAAGCGGGUGAAAAGCCCGCUCGCCGGAAGACCAAGGGUUCCUGUCCAACGUUAAUCGGGGCAGGGUGAGUCGACCCCUAAGGCGAGGCCGAAAGGCGUAGUCGAUGGGAAACGGGUUAAUAUUCCCGUACUUGGUGUUACUGCGAAGGGGGGACGGAGAAGGCUAUGUUGGCCGGGCGACGGUUGUCCCGGUUUAAGCGUGUAGGUGUGUGUUCCAGGUAAAUCCGGUUCACUUUAACACUGAGGCGUGAUGACGAGGCACUACGGUGCUGAAGCAACAAAUGCCCUGCUUCCAGGAAAAGCCUCUAAGCAUCAGGUAACAUCAAAUCGUACCCCAAACCGACACAGGUGGUCAGGUAGAGAAUACCAAGGCGCUUGAGAGAACUCGGGUGAAGGAACUAGGCAAAAUGGUGCCGUAACUUCGGGAGAAGGCACGCUGACACGUAGGUGAAGUGAUUUACUCAUGGAGCUGAAGUCAGUCGAAGAUACCAGCUGGCUGCAACUGUUUAUUAAAAACACAGCACUGUGCAAACACGAAAGUGGACGUAUACGGUGUGACGCCUGCCCGGUGCCGGAAGGUUAAUUGAUGGGGUCAGCGCAAGCGAAGCUCCUGAUCGAAGCCCCGGUAAACGGCGGCCGUAACUAUAACGGUCCUAAGGUAGCGAAAUUCCUUGUCGGGUAAGUUCCGACCUGCACGAAUGGCGUAAUGAUGGCCAGGCUGUCUCCACCCGAGACUCAGUGAAAUUGAACUCGCUGUGAAGAUGCAGUGUACCCGCGGCAAGACGGAAAGACCCCGUGAACCUUUACUAUAGCUUGACACUGAACAUUGAGCCUUGAUGUGUAGGAUAGGUGGGAGGCUUUGAAGCGUGGACGCCAGUCUGCGUGGAGCCGACCUUGAAAUACCACCCUUUAAUGUUUGAUGUUCUAACGUGGACCCGUAAUCCGGGUUGCGGACAGUGUCUGGUGGGUAGUUUGACUGGGGCGGUCUCCUCCUAAAGAGUAACGGAGGAGCACGAAGGUUGGCUAAUCCUGGUCGGACAUCAGGAGGUUAGUGCAAUGGCAUAAGCCAGCUUGACUGCGAGCGUGACGGCGCGAGCAGGUGCGAAAGCAGGUCAUAGUGAUCCGGUGGUUCUGAAUGGAAGGGCCAUCGCUCAACGGAUAAAAGGUACUCCGGGGAUAACAGGCUGAUACCGCCCAAGAGUUCAUAUCGACGGCGGUGUUUGGCACCUCGAUGUCGGCUCAUCACAUCCUGGGGCUGAAGUAGGUCCCAAGGGUAUGGCUGUUCGCCAUUUAAAGUGGUACGCGAGCUGGGUUUAGAACGUCGUGAGACAGUUCGGUCCCUAUCUGCCGUGGGCGCUGGAGAACUGAGGGGGGCUGCUCCUAGUACGAGAGGACCGGAGUGGACGCAUCACUGGUGUUCGGGUUGUCAUGCCAAUGGCACUGCCCGGUAGCUAAAUGCGGAAGAGAUAAGUGCUGAAAGCAUCUAAGCACGAAACUUGCCCCGAGAUGAGUUCUCCCUGAGACUUAGAGUCUCCUGAAGGAACGUUGAAGACGACGACGUUGAUAGGCCGGGUGUGUAAGCGCAGCGAUGCGUUGAGCUAACCGGUACUAAUGAACCGUGAGGCUUAACCUU